ACCUGCAGAAAAAGAGAUUCACAAAGAACAUGGACUAGUGUUGCAAGUCCCUUUUUGUUUUGUCCUGUCUUUCUGUAGAUAUAUGUGAACUGACUUAUCCAGUUAUUUUUAAAGCAGCUUCAAUUCCAUUACUGCAAAUACAUAUUACACAAUAGACAGACAAGAGAAACUGACAAAAAGUUUAACUCAUUGGUGAAUGCUUUCUUGUAACUCCUAGUCCUCCACUGUACUAACACUCUUCUUUUUCUUAGACAAAUACAUUCUUCUAGGUGAUGUGAAACCAUCAGAAUUUAUCUCAAUGCGUGUUUAUUCUCAAAAGACACAUUGCUUAUCAGUGGCAAAAAGUCAACACCACCACAGCACCUUGCACAAUUAUGGAAAGCUUAAUCUCUUCUUCCCUAGUAAUAUUUUAAUCAGUUUAGGCAUUUAUGACUAAAAUAUGAAGCUUACUUUGUAAAGGGAGGUGUUUUAAUAGCAUUAGUAACUCCACUUUCUUUUCACUGUUAUCAUGUUUUUCCUCUGCUUCAAAACUGAUACUGGUUCAGGACUAAGCCACAAAAUUUAAAGCAUUUUUGUUUCAAAGGCAAAUUCUCUCAUUUUUCUUACAGUGUGCUAGUGCUGUCAGGUUUUUGACUGAUAAAGGUCUGUUCUGGAUAUAAAAGUUCUAACUCUUCCCCUAGGCCUACUGGCUAGCACUGUCUGGUUUAUUUUAAAAAUAAUCAUGUGUUUCCAUAUAUUCACAUUUUAAGCAUGCCACAACUCAUGCAGGCUUUGCAGAUCACACCUAUGUAAGUUCAGGCUUUUGUAUGCCUUAUCUUUUGAGUGCUGUAUGGCUUAUGUAAAACUUUGGAUCACAGAAAUACUUCAAAAUUCAAUUAUACAGGCCCAGUGAUUUUUCUGUUUGCUGGGCAUCAUACUGAAGAUGAAAAAGAACAAAAAGGACAAAACUCUGUUAAGCUUGAAACAAACAGGACACACCUAAACUGUUUACUUAUCACAUGAAAACAUAGAAGACUUUAACCAUUCUGGAAACAAAAUUAGACCUUCCAAGUCAAAGAAAGUAGAUGUACAUCAAGGGAGACAACAGGAAGCCAUUUUUUGACAAAAGAGUGUCAAUUCUUGUGUAUAAAAUAAAUGUAGUUAAGCAGCAAUAAGAUGAGAAAAAGAACAGCAAGUUAUAAUUGCUUCUGUUGGUAAAAAGGAAAGAAAAAUAACACUGCCAAAUGGUUUGCUAGGUGAGUUGUACAUUACGACAUGGGAGACACCCUGCUAAGUUAUUCUAUUCCCAUUGGCUUUGGCAAAGCACCAGCUGAAGUACACCAUCUUACAUAAAGUAUUAGAUUUCAAGAUGCAACAACAGGGCAUGUCCACAAAAGUAUGACCUAUGAGGAAAAGCAGAUGAAAUGUUAGGAUUAUUUCAGGAAAGUUAUUAUUCUUUCCAACCACCAUAUAGAAGCUGUCUACUCAAACUGAAGGCCUUCAUGGGAUGCACGUCAGAGUGAGCAAGACAAUGGAUUUUAAGGAGAAGAUCAGAUGCAUAAGAGGGAAAAAAACAUGAAAAGAAGAAAGGUGCAGUAUGGAAACAAAAGCAGAAAGAUUUUGAAGACAAGUCUGAAUUAUACAUGGAGCCAGGAUAAUGGUACAGAGCCUCAGAAAAAGUAAGGGUCACAUUUAGUGGUGCUCUAUUUUGAACUUAUCAAUUGCCUAAACGUACUGUUUUUUAGAGAUCAGAAAAAGUUCUCUCCCUCUAUUCCUGUCCAUUACCUAGCCUGCAUGCUAUUGUGCUUUUCUUCCCUAUUAUGCACCAGAACAGCAAGAGUACUAAAAAAAAAAAAAAGGUAAGCAAUACUUCUUGCCUAAAGCUCUCACCUACAACGAAUAGAGCAGCUCUUUGAAUAAGUAGAGAAGAAUCAAUCAGACCUUUUCCAGAUUACAAAGGCUCUUCUUUUGAAAGAGAAAAGAGCACAGUAGCAGGCACUUUUUAAAUGCACAUAUUAUUGUUUGAUGGCACUAUUAAUUUGAGUUACAGGAACUACCCGACUGAAUGAUGUUAGCCUUACCGUAAGCUUUUACUAUACUUUUUAGCUGCCACUGCCCAAUUUUGCGAUUUGAAGAAAGUAUUUCCUAUAUUCUUUAUGUCUUCUGCUAUGACCACAAUCUUGUCAACCUAAUAAAAUAGAUGGAAAAAACAGCAGGAUCAACAUGCCCAUCCUCUUUCAAAGACUAUAAAAUCUCAGAAAAAUAUUCCAGUUUUAGACAAAUACUAGCUUCAAAUUAUUCCUGUAAUAUUUGCUACUUUAUUUUACACAUUAGCCUGAAAGAUGAAAUUCCUAAUGGGUUUACUAAAGUAUAAAGUGUGACAAAAUACCAGAAACAACAGAGCAGUUCAACUCUUUCUCUAAAUGCUGCUACCCACACAGAGCUAUAUAUAAAGGUGUUGACCGUUAUUCAUGGGAGACGUGUUAACAAUCAAAGUAUUCAACCAAGACUGCUUCUUCCCUGUCUUCUAUCUUCUCAAACACUAUUUGUCACCUGAAUUCUGCACACUGUUAAGCUAAAAGUCCUAUCAAUGCAAUUCUCCUUUUCCCAAUACACAGCUGUGGAAGGAGAAAAAAACAACUGCCUGUCUUCAUCAGACUAUCAUUUCUAUUUCCAGGACGGAACACAUUUCAAGUGUUAAGUUACUUUUCCAGUGGCAAUAAAUGGUUUAUAAUUACUGCCACCUCUACCACAGUUGUUUUAAGGUCUGUCAAAUGUAUAUAAUGCCAUUUGUAAUACUAUCAGUUUACACGUCCUACUCUACUAGAAUGACCUUGAAAGAAAUUGACCACAGUGUGAGACCAAUGUCACCAUAGUUUCUGUAGUUUAUAUGAACAAGGCAGGCACCUCAAAACCACAGCAAAUGCUAUAAAAAAAUUUUCAGAGGUUGAAGUGCUUCUCAAUAGCCAGAUACACAGAGUUUCUGGUUUCUAGUUGUAAUGUCUUUUAACUAGUUCAAUUCUGUAUUAGCAAGUUGCAUGUGCAGCUCCUUUUUAAUCCUCUCACAAAUUAUUGUUUAAUUUACAAUUUAUCUAUUCCACUUUUGUGAUAGUUAAAACCUGCAUAAGAGCUACUUUCAUCAGACUGCUCCCUACCUCAACAUGUCUUCAGUUUGAACAAUCCGAAAAGCAAACAGCUACUGAGAAUGAACAGUUCUGAUGUAGUAAAAAUUUGAUCUUUUAUUAUUUCUACUAAAUGCAGCAAAUAUUUAUAAAAGUGGAUAUUAAAAAAGUUGCACAAAAUGUAUAGGUACAAUGUUAAGUUAGUCAGCUGUAGGAUAGAGUUCAAGUAACUGCUAUUUGUUGCUAUGGCACAAACAAAGGUACAGAGAAACAAAGAACAGGAGAAAAAAAAAGAUCAUUAAUAAUUAUGUAAUUAUGUUUUUAGUUACUAGGGAAUCAGCUGCAAGUAGCACAGGAAAAAAAGAGACAGCAAUCCUCAUCCACAGCAUUCUCUUUCUUAAAUCUGAAUGUCACCAUUUUAUCAGGACCUUGACCUAUCCUUAAGAAAAUAGGCUUACUGAACAUCAUCACAGACACCAUGUAAUUAGAUUACCUACAAGUCUUGCAUUUUGUAAGAAAAAUACUUACAUCCUUCAAGUCAAUGUCUGAAUCUUCAGGAAAAUCUGGAUGAGCAUCUCCAGAUCCAUCCUGGGGGACAAUUCCCCAGUCAUCUCCCUCCUUCAGCUCUCCACAUUCUGCUAUGAUGCACAACUGAAAAGGUAAACAUCAAUAUUACUUAUUAAGGGAAUUUCUUCUCCCCCACAAACAAAAAAAGCUACGCCUUCUGAGUGCCCUUUGAAAUUCAGUAAAAAUGCUUUCUUCAUCUGUUGUUUUGGUGCAGGGACUUCUGAAACUCAUCAUAUCAUUAGCCUAUCCCCAUCAAAAGGCUUUUAUCAUAUAAAUUGUUGCGUUUGGAGGAGCAGCAUUCCAAGAGCACCAUACCCACACUUCAGAGAAAGGCUACAAGAGGAACUGGCAGCAAGCUGAGCUGCAGCAGAACACAAGAUACGGCAGUUGUGCUACAUUAGAGAAGACAGCUUGCUUAAACUUCCACCUCUUUUGUAGUUACAGAGAUAGUUUUCAAACAACCAGAAACUGACAUGACCUCCACACCAACUACUUUUCCAGAAACAUGAUUUCUGACAUAAAAUUCUUAAGAAUUACCUAUCACUUAAGUAGGGUUAUGAAUUCCGCACUUUAAUUACAGAACCUGUCCUACCCUUCUAUCUCUGCACUUCCACCUUCAUUCUGAUAAAGGCUUCCAGACUCACAGCUGUAUUAAUAAUGUAUCAGUUGUUUCUGUAGGGGAGAUUUACAGCAGAACAAAAGCCUCUUACAAAGGACUGUAAAAUGGAAAUAGACACUAUUUGAAAAAAUAACCAGCUAACACCAGUUCUAAACAUUAUACUAAGCAUUUAGAACAAAAUAAUAUACAUUGUAUAAUUGAAGAAUAUGUAUCAUCCCUAAGUGCUUUGAGUUUUAUUUACCUUAGCAGGAUUUUCUCCUUUUACUUCAACGUUUUCUAACAUUUUAACUACACCCAUUCCUUUGAUCACUUGGCCAAACACCACAUGCUUCCCAUCCAGGUGAGAAGUAGGCACCGUUGUAAUAAAGAACUGAGAACCAUUAGUACCAGGUCCUGCAUUUGCCAUGCUCAGCAGCCCUGGCUUAUCAUGCUGCAUUGGGGAAAAAAAAUACACAACAUGUAAAAGAUCUGUUACAAACCAUACAUAUGAUUCUGUAAGGUUAUUAAUAUAUAGAGCAAGAACAGUGAUAAUGACAACUUGGUAAACCAGAUAAUUACAUCUGGCAACCAGUUUUACUUAAUCAUGACUGAAAAGGGCAAAUGCCCAGCUCUGCAUCAUUACUUGCUACCUAGCAGUGUAGUAAGAUUGCUGCAUGUCUGACUUGAUGCUGUAAUAUCUGUCUGCUUCUUGUAUGCUCAAUCCCUUGCAUAGCUGCUGAGCUUAGACUGAUGACCUGAGAAAAAGUGAGAUUCCUCACUGGAUUACUCAAGAUUGCUGGCCUCAAGAAACAAAGCUAAACACCACUUAAAGCAGCUUUAAUGUUACAGUAUCAAAAUGGUAGGUAUUGUUAAUUUUAUUAACAGCUGCUCAUAAAAAGUAUGUUAUGGUACUGUGGGGUUUAGGGACUGCAGUCUGUAUGUAAAGGCCAGUGGUUUGGUUAACUCCUUCACUUUCCUACAAAGUUCAGUUUUUACUCUGCUGGGACUUUUAACCAUCUCAUUUUGGCUCUUGCUGCCUACCCACAAACUAGCAAAUUUAUUAAACAGUCUAACGCAAUAAGAUGCUGUUUAUCUUGUAUCCUGUGAGUACUUUUCCCUCCUUAGAAAUAACAAUUAUCUUGCUCCAUGACACAGAUUAUUUCACUUUCACUUGUACUGCACCAGUGUACUUUUUGUAUGUGUUGUAAAUCUCUUGUUUAACUGGCAUGACACGAUCAUUAAGAUACUAUCCUCUCCAAGCUGGUCUGAUUAUUAUUCAGUGCAAGAAACUAUUUAAUGUGAAGUCAGUAUCUUAUAUCAAAACACCAGUACAUCUCUGAAGAAUGCAAGCUGUAAUAUUCCUAAGAAACCUGAUCCUGUGGGGAGGAGAGGAGAGCUGAAAAAUAAGUACGACAGCACAGAAGAGAGGCAGAAGUUGCUGUUAAAUAGACCUCAGAGCUCAAUGUGAGGUUGACUAGUUUGAGACAACAGUCUGAGACAGCUGUACUUAAACAUCGUUUGUCCCUAUAGUCUCUACCACUUUGAAGAACCUGUUAUUUUGAAAACUGUUUUCCCACAAAGUGUUUGGAUGUUCACGGUGUUAGGGAACACUCUUUCCCUAAGCCACGAGUUUGAAUCUUUCAAACGGGAUUUAGCUCAGAAAGUCUGGGAAAAGGCUGUACAGCUGAGAGCUGGAAUCACACCCAGCCAACAGAAAGCUACUGGAAUGUUACUGAAAGUCCAUAACUCAUCCUAGAAAUGGCAGAGGGGAAGCAAGAGAAAGCAUCUGGUAGCAAGCCUGCAGGAAUCCAGCCUCUGAAACAAAUAUCCGACAUUCGCAUUGUAGCUGCUAGUAAGCACGUUAAUCAGGAGAGUUCCCUCAUUCUUGCAAAUAUCAUUUGAGGCUGGCCACCGAUUCACUGCCCAAGGGACAGAACAAAACCUAUAAAUCUUACUAGCUUUUUUUUUCUCCUCCAAUUACAAGUAAUGCCAGACAGCAAUGGUUUGUAAACAAAGAUUCAAGCAGCAAUAAGCUCUGGUGUUACACUUGCAGAUUUAUCUUUUGUCUGUGAAGAUUUGGAGGACAGGUUAGAAAGUUAUGGAGUGUAGUCUGGUGGUCCAGAGGAGCCCGAAGAACAGUAAUGGA